rnacentral:pre_miRNA from 1 species
CAUGCACCGGUGGGGUCCCUCAGCCUGGCCUGGCCCUCUCACAAUCUGGGACCCCUCAGGGGAUUUUGGAGAGCAGUUUGGCCCAAUCCCACAGGCCAGGCUGAGGGACCCCACUGGUGCACG